GAGCUUAUAUUGAACUGGGCUUAAUAGUAAUACACCCACAUGACAAGAUGGCCUAAAGCCCAAAAUAGUUCAAACAAAAAAACACUCGUCGCACACAGGUCAGCUUCUCUGGCGGUGACUUAUAGGGUUUACCUUACCCCGUCGUGAAGAACCUCACUCUCUCUUUCAUCUUCGAAAUCUCAACUAAUACAUGGCUGAAGUUAACGCUAACCCCGAACCCCCUCAAAACAUGACCAUCUACAUCAACAACCUCAACGAAAAAAUCAAAAUCGAUGGUUCGUUCUUUUUUUUCAUAACAUCAAUUUUUCAAUAUAGAUACACUAAUAUACUCUUUUUAUUUAUAUACUUCAAUUUUGAUGCAGAGUUGAAGAAAUCUUUGCACGCUGUUUUCAGCCAAUUUGGGAAGAUACUUGAGGUUUUGGCUUUCAAGACUCUGAAACAUAAGGGUCAAGCUUGGGUGAUUUUUGAGGAUGUUACUUCUGCUUCUAAUGCUCUUAGGCAAAUGCAAGGUUUCCCCUUCUAUGAUAAGCCCAUGGUACUAUCAUAUGCUCUUCAAUUUCACUUUUCAAAUUUGAAAUUGUGUUUUACUUUCGUAUUUUUAAUUUAAUUUAAGGUGCUUUUUUUAUUAGGAUUAGUUUUUUAGUUAGAAUUUUUGGGUGUAAUUUCAUUCUAAUUUAUGACAACAACAACAGCAACAAAAACAACCAAGCCUUAUCCCACUAGGUGGGGUCGGCUACAUGGGUCAAAUGACGUCAUAGUGUUCUAUCAUACACCAAAUUUGGAUUCAACUCAUUGACCUCUAAAUCCUUUCUAAUGGUUUCUCUAAUAGUUUUCCUAGGUCUUCCUCUACCUCUUUUAACUUGACUCUUCUCCAUUUGAUCUACCCUUCUUAACACGGCAUCUACGGGUCUUCUCUCUACAUGCCCAAACAAUCUAAGUCUAUUUUCUACCAACUUUUCUACUAUAGGUGCUACCCCCACUCUCUCUCUAAUGGUGUCAUUCCUAAUCCUAUCCUAUCUAAUCUUACCACUCAUCCAGCGCAACAUCCUCAUCUCUGCUACACUUACUUGAUUCUCAUGUUGACUCUUAAUCGCCCAACACUCCGUACGUGAACAACUACUAAUGUCGUGAUUCAAAGAUUUAUAUUUCUGACAUUGAAAGUAAAAUUUGCAUGAAGUCACAGUCCACUUUUGUUGUGAACAACUACUAAUUGGUUCUAUUGAGCUAGCUUUGUCACAAUUCUGUGGAUGAAAUUAUAUUUUAGAUUUAUUUAGCACAGAAAAAUAAAAUUAUGUGAUUUAUGGUCUAUCUUAAUGGAUGGUGUGGCAUGGUGAGAUUUGCAGUUAGUUCUAACUGAGUGUUUUGAAGCUAUAAAAAAUGCUUUCUAUCAGUGCGUGCUCCAAUAAUCGUUGCUUGAUUUGUGCUGCUGGAGCUUUAUUUUAAUUGGUCAUAUGCUAGCAUGUGAUGUGUUAUUUUUCGUUCUGGCUAGACCUGUUUGAUAUUUUUCAAAUCUUCAGCAAAAUUUUAAUGAAUUUUUUAUUUGAUAUCUAUCCAUUUUCCUCGUGCUAAAUAGAUUUUUUUGGUCUACAGCUAAAUCAGUUAAAAGUAGAAUUUAUCAUGAAAAAUUAAUUUUAUUACAAUUAGACAAGUAUCAAGUACUUAGGGAACCUUCCCUUAGCUAGCAAUCAAGAUUCAAGGGGGAAGAACCAAACCACUUAGUUACACCACCAAACAUCCCAUACUACUUGAUGUGGGACGUGGGCACCCCAUAACAAAUCUCUAAUCUAUUGUAGCACCACCCCUGAGAGAGAUGACAACCUGACGGGUUGGCAUACUACAGUGCUUUAUGCGGCCUUUUCGCUCAGCUCCUCUGUCGGUAGCUCUUUACGAGCAACUGACGACCAGUUCUGAUACCAAUUAAUCAGUAUUUAAGCACUUGGGAAACCCUCCCUUAAAAGCUAUCUAUCAAAGGGGAAGCACCAGGUCACGUAAGUACACCACCGAGCAUCCUAAACUACUCAAUGUGGGAUAUAGACAACUUAUUGUUUGGCCUGUUUGGCCCCAUUGGAUAUGUAAUAGUUUGUUAGUUUAUAUAAUUUCCAUAAAACUAUUCUCAGGCAAGAAAUUGAAUUCCAUUUUGCAAUCUAUGCAGAGAAUACAGUAUGCCAGGACUAAAUCUGAUGUCAUAGCUAAAGCAGAAGGUACUUUUGUUCCUCGGGAAAAACGAAAGAGGCACGAUGACAAAGGUAUAACUAUUUGAGCUCUCUAUUUUUUUUUUAAAGGAUAUCGUACUGUUAAGUGUAAGCUCAUAUUGGAAAUAAACAAACUAAACUAAGAAUGUUUUCUCUUCAAAAUGAGGGUCCAACUCACUGAGGGCCCAAUAAUGGCUACAAAAGGCCAAUCAAUAUAUUUCAUAGGUUUUAUCUUUUUUGGUGUUGGUGGGGGUUUUUGUUUGGUUUGGUCGCCAAGGGGCUUUUGGGGUCAUGAUUUCUGUAAGUGAUAAUGCAUUAAUAAUGAAGAAGGAAAAGAUCCAAUAAAUGAUAUUUUUUAUGCUUUCCUUCAUCAGCAAAGAACAGACUUUCGCUAUACUUUUGACUUUUCGUGUCUAGUAUGGAUGCAACUCUUUUAAUGAAUAUCUGUAAUAUGUACUGUAUAAAUAAAUAUACAUAGUCAAAUUACAUAUCCAAUUACAUUUUUCAGCAGGCAAAAAAAGGAAGGACCAAAACGAUGCUAAUUUAGCUGGAACUGGCCUAAAUCCUGCUUAUGCUGGUGCUUACGGUGCAACUCCUGCUGUAAGUUUCUCUGCUGUUGUAGUUUAUUUUUGUCAAUGGUCAUUUUAUAGGCAUCUUAAUGUGCUGGACCUUUGUCUCAUUGAAUCUAGCAUCUUCAUAAUUUUAACUGUUUUAUGGUAAUUUUUCUCGAACUGUUAAAGUUUUAUUAUCAAAGCCGGAAUCAAAAUAAUGAAGAUGAGAUGACACUAUCUGUUUCAAAGCAAAUUAUUCUAUAAUACAUAGAAGCACAAACAAUUUUAUUCUGCAUUUGUUACACACUUUUUCUAAUAAUGCAGUUAUCCCAGAUACCUUAUCCAGGCGGUGCGAAGUCCUUGCUACCUGAGGCUCCUGCACCACCAAAUAAUAUUCUCUUUAUUCAGAAUCUUCCUAACGAGACCACUCCCAUGAUGCUUCAAAUGUUGUUUCUUCAAUAUCCUGGAUUCAAGGAAGUUAGAAUGGUUGAAGCAAAGCCAGGAAUUGCCUUUGUGGAAUAUGGAGAUGAGAUGCAAUCCACGAUGGCUAUGCAGGCGCUGCAAGGUUUCAAGAUAGCCCCACAAAACCCUAUGUUGAUAACUUAUGCAAAGAAAUAGACAGUGAUUUCUCCAACUUAUGGUGCAAGAAAGGCAGGAAUCAUAUGUCUUCGCAUAGAGUUGUUAAUCCAUCUAAUGCAAUAGUUUAUCUUCUUAAUUGCUGUUUACCCGUAGCAGCCUUGGUUCUUGUAUGAUUGUAGUUAGUGCACUAACUUUUAACAUUCUUAUAAAAAUCUGUAUUUGGAAAAUUGCUUUCUUUUUUUAUUAUGGUAAAUUACUAUUUGGUUUGAGUUUAUCUAUGACAAAUUUAUUUUACAUUUUAUGGAUUUGUCAUUUGUCAUGCGUUUUUCUUGUUUGGGGGAGAUUUCCCUAGUUAUUUUACUGGAUGAAGAGUAACUAGAUACAUGAUCUCUUUUUUGCUUAAGUAUACAACUUUUUAAGUUAUCUUGUGAAUUGCUAUCCUCUUGUAAUUAUUUUUAGUUACAUUGGAAAAAAAAAUGGAAUAAAAAUCAGAUUUUUGAAGGUUUGGCGUUAACUUAAGGUUUGGAUUGGAGCAAAUAUAUUGAGAGAUUUAUCAAUUUCCAAAUUUAAUGUACAAGCAAGAAACUGUUUUUUUGCUGGGUUGCUGUUCCUUUCUCAGUGGCAAUGGCAUAGUGAAAAAACACAUCCAGUUAUCAUCCAGAAGGGGACGGUGGUUCUAAGAGAAAAAGGGAGAGUCUGGGAAGAAAAAAAAAAUGAAAAAAAACUAAAAUGAGUAUAGAUGAACAGUAACAUAUGGUGUUGUAUUUUUGUCAAAAAAAGUGUGUUCAGUUAUCAUUUAUCUAAAAACUAAACUUUUACCCAAACACACCUCCCUUUCAUGCAUUUCUGCAAAGAAAGAAACCCUAGCAGCAGCCGCUUAUCACCCUCUCUCCCAAGAACAAACCCUAGCUGCCGGCCACACAACAAACCAACCGGAAAAUGGUUGAGAUUACACCACACCCACCGUGACUCUCAUCUCCAUUCAUCAUAUUUGUUUCUCUACUCUGUUUUCGUUUUUUUCUUUCAUUCACGUCUCAAUCUCAUCCACCAUCACAUUUUAGUUUCAUUUUCGUUAUUCUCAUCUCCAGAUCUGUGAUUGAGGUAGUUUUUUAGCUUUAAAACUGUUAUGUUCAUGGGUUUUUGUUGAUUCUUUGAUUAUUCAUGCUUUGAUUCAUUUUAACAGUUUUAUUCUAUUUUCUUUUUACUUGGUUGGUUUGGUUCUUGGAUCUUGGUUUAGUUUAACACUAUAAGGUAUGUUAUUAUCCCCUAUUUAUUUUUUUAUUUUUUUCUGUUUAUGAUUUUCUCAAUUUAGUUUGUCCUUUGUAAUACUCUUUAAUCAGAUAUAUCUAUCUAACAUUUUUUUUUUGUUUUCUAUUUGAUAUUGUGGAACUUGGAUCAGCUGUGAAAAAAGAUAACAUAAGGUAUUCUUUUUUCUCUUUUUGUGGCUGACUGUCUAGGUGUAUUUUUUUGCUGAUAUGUCGUUUUCUUCUCUUUUAGUGCUUUUUAUUGAAGUUGAAUUACCAUUUUUAGUCUAAUCAGUUUUUUUUUUUGUCAACUUUAGUACUACUAAGUACUAACAUGUACUAAUUGUUUGAUAUUUGUCCUACAAUUUUUUUUGCCAUGAUUGUGUUUUAUGCUGAACUAUAUCUGUUUUAUCUUAAUCACCAACAAGAUGUGUGAACCUUUCUGAAAUAUUAUCAUUUUAAAAACAAUUUUAUCUACUUCAGUCUUAAAAUGGUUUGUGUCUGUCAUAUUUUCAAUGUAGUCUAUAUGAACCAAAACAUAUACAUGAUGAUAAGUAUCAAUUCAUUGAAUCAAUGUUAUCAUGAAUUUUGAAAGAAGAUUUGAACAAUCCACAAGUAAAAACGAGGACCACAAUCCACUGAAGCAUGCUUUCCAUUUUAGUGACGUGAUGACUACUUUUCAUGGUUUAUAUUUGCUCCCCUCUAGAACUUUUGCUCUGCAUGUAUUAUAGAUUCUUUGCAUAGUGAUGAACCUAUACUUAUCAAUAUGAUAUGUUGUAUUCUAAUUAAAUAAGGUUUUCAUUUGUAAUAAUGUUUAUUAGUGUAUCUAUUUGAAUAAGCUUUUCAUUUGUAAUAAUGCUUAUUUGUCUAACAAAGUGUUCUUUGAUUUUCUUUUACAUGUUGUAAGAUGGUUGUGAGCAAUUGCUAGGUGUCUAAAGAACAACUUUCUCAAAUUGUACUUCGAGCUUAUAUUGAAUUGGGCUUAAUAUUAAUACACCCACAUGACAAGAUGGCUUAAAGCCCAAAAUAGUUCAAACAAAAAAACACUCGUCGCACACAGGUCAGCUUCUCCGGCAGUGGCUUAUAGGGUUUACCUUACCCCCGUCGUGAAGAACCUCACUCUCUCUUUCAUCUUCGAAAUCUCAACUAAUACAUGGCUGAAGUUAACGCUAACCCCGAACUUCCUCAAAACAUGACCAUCUACAUCAACAACCUCAACGAAAAAAUCAAAAUCGAUGGUUCGUUCUUUUUUUUCAUAACAUCAAUUUUUCAAUAUAGAUACACUCAUAUACUCUUUUUAUUUAUAUACUUCAAUUUUGAUGCAGAGUUGAAGAGAUCUUUGCACGCUGUUUUCAGCCAAUUUGGAAAGAUACUUGAGGUUUUGGCUUUCAAGACUCUGAAACAUAAGGGUCAAGCUUGGGUGAUUUUUGAGGAUGUUACAUCACAUAAUUUUAUUUUUGUGUGCUAAAUAAAUCUAAAAUAUAAUUUUAUCCACAAACUUGCGACAAAGCUAGCUUAAUUGAACCUAUUAGUAGUUGUUCACAACAAAAGUGGAUUGUGGUUCAUGCAAAUUUUACUUACAAUGUCAAAGAUAUAAAUCUUGGUUUAACACUAUAAGGUAUGUUAUUAUCCCCCUUUUUUUUUUUUUUAUGAUUUUCUCAAUUUAGUUUGUCCUUUGUAAUACUCUUUAAUCAGAUCUAUCUAUCUAACUUUUUUUUUUGUUUUCUAUUUGAUAUUGUGGAACUUGGGUCAGCUGUGAAAAAAGACAACAUAAGGUAUUCUUUUUUCUCUUUUUGUGGCUGACUGUUUGGGUGUAUUUUUUGCUGAUAUGUCGUUUUCUUCUCUUUUAGUGGUUUUUAUUGAAGUUGAAUUACCAUUUUUAGUCUAUCAGUUUUUUUUUCCUCAACUUUAGUACUACUAAAUACGAACAUGUACUAAUUGUUUGAUAUUUGUUGUGCAAUUUUAUUUUUGCCAUGAUUGAGUUUUAUGCUGAACUAUAUUUGUUUUAUCUUAAUCACCAACAAGAUGUGUGAACCUUUCUGAAAAAUUAUCAUUUUAAAAACAAUUUUAUCUACUUCAGUCUUAUAAUGUUUUGUGUCUGUCAUAUUUUCAAUGUAGUCUAUAUGAACCAAAACAUAUACAUGAUGAUAAAUAUCAAUUCAUUGAAUCUAUGUUAUCAUGAAUUAUGAAAGAAGAUUUGAACAAUCCACAAGUAAAAACGAGGACCACAAUCCACUGAAGCAUGCUUUCCAUUUUAGUGACGUGAUGACUACUUUUCAUGGUUUAUAUUUGCUCCCCUCUAGAACUUUUGCUCUGCAUGUAUUAUAGAUUCUUUGCACAGUGAUGAACCUAUACUUAUCAAUAUGAUAUGUUGUAUUCUAAUUAAAUAAGGUUUUCAUUUGUAAUAAUGUUGAUUAGUGUAUCUAUUUGAAUAAGCUUUUCAUUUGUAAUAAUGCUUAUUUGUCUAACAAAGUGUUCUUUGACUUGCUUUUACAUGUUGUAAGAUGGUUGUGAGCAAUUGCUAGGUGUCUAAAGAACAAUUUUCUCAAAUUGUACUUCGAGCUUAUAUUGAAUUGGGCUUAAUAUUAAUACACCCACAUGACAAGAUGGCUUAAAGCCCAAAAUAGUUCAAACAAAAAAACACUCGUCGCACACAGGUCAGCUUCUCCGGCAGUGGCUUAUAGGGUUUACCUUACCCCCGUCGUGAAGAACCUCACUCUGUCUUUCAUCUUCAAAAUCUCAACUAAUACAUGGCUGAAGUUAACGCUAACCCCGAACCCCCUCAAAACAUGACCAUCUACAUCAACAACCUCAACGAAAAAAUCAAAAUCGACGGUUCGUUCUUUUUUUUCAUAACAUCAAUUUUUCAAUAUAGAU
rnacentral:lncRNA from 1 species